UGUUUUGUGGCUUAGUUGGUUAAAGCGCCGGUCUUGCGAAUACGGAGUCGUGGGAUCAAAUCCCACCAGAACGU
rnacentral:tRNA from 1 species